GGGCCAUUGGCGCAAUGGUAGCGCGUCUGAUUCCAGUUCCACGUUGGGAUGUCCAGAAGGUUAGCCGUUCAAAUCGGCUAUGGCUCA